rnacentral:pre_miRNA from 1 species
UGGAGGAACAACCGCAGUGGCGGGGCCAGCUCUCCAGCCCUGGAGUCAGCCCCGCAAUAACUCCAGAGCUCUUGGUCUGCAGGGCCUGGAGGCUCCGGGGCGGG